AAAGGUAAGGGUGCCUGUAUCAGGGGGUUGGGAAAUGCGAGUUUUGAUAGAAUCCCUAUCGGGAAAUUUCAAUUUGACAAAACUAGGUAGUAAUACCAUAGCUAGGUUGCCACCAACAGUUCGUUAAUGUAAUUCAACGGCUCCCGGUGUUCGUGAAGUUCCCGAUAGCCUUCGAGAAAAACAAUCACACAGUACUAUCGAAAUUGAACAUAGAUUUCGCUUAAGUUAUUGGUUUUCUCGUCAAGCCUAGGGAACGCCAAAUUACACACCUAAAUUUUCAGCACCCCAGGAAGGACAAUAAAUUUAUUUUGCGACGAAUAGGACAAAUCAGAAUGAGUCGAGAGAUUCAAGACGUGUUCAGUGCGUUCCGUUUCCGUUUUAAACAUUCUUUUCGCUACUCGUUAAUACAUUGAAAUUUGCCUUUUUUUCGUACCAACAUGAGGGACACUAGACACACGACUGUUUGAAAGAUUGAUUUUCACACGACACAAUGUUUUCAUAUCUUUAGGUGCAAUUCCUAUCUGCAGCCCUACAGUGUGCAAAAAUAGAUAGAGGACAAAAUCUGAUCACCGUGCUGAUGUGCACAUGCCAGCUUCAUGUAAGCAAUCUUGAAAUGACCUAUCAACAGUAAUUUUGGUUUAUAU